rnacentral:lncRNA from 1 species
GGGAAGACAAUUCCAAUACUUUAUCACUCUUUCUGUAAAAAACUUUUCCCUAAUAUCCAGCCUAUAUUUCCCUUGGCACAGCUUAAGACUGUGUCCUCUCAUUCUGUCAGUUGCUGCCUGGAGAAAGAGACCGACCCCCACCUGACUACAGCCACCUUUCAGGAAUCUGUAGAGAGUGGUAAGGUCACCUCUGGGUCUCCUUUUCUCCAGGCUAAACAAUCCCAGCUCCCUCAGCCAUUCCUCAUAGGGUUUGUGUUCCAAGCUCCUCACCAGCCCUGUUGCCCUCCUCUGGACACACUCAGAUGUCUCAAAGUCUUUCCUAAACUGAGGGGCCCAGAACUGGACCCAGAACUCAAGGUACAGCCUCACCAGUGCCAGAUACAGGGGAAGAUUGACCUCCCUGCCCCUGCUGGUCACAUUAUUCCUGAUCCAGACCAGGAUGCCGUUGGCUUUUUGGCCACCAGGGCACACUGCUGGCUCAUGUUCAGCCAGCUGUCACCAGUACCCCCAGUUCCUUUCUGCCUGGGCACUGUCCAGCCACACCGUCCCCAGCCUAUAGCACUGCAGGGGGUUACUGUGGCCAAAAUGCAGGACUUGGCACUUGGACUUGUUAAACUUUAUCCUAUGGACACUGUCCAUCCAUCCAACAGGUCCAGGUCUCUCUGCACAGCCCUCCUACCUCCCAAUGGAUUAACACACACUCCCAGCUUAGUGUCGCCUGCAAAUUCACUAAUGAAAGACUCAAUACCCUCAUCCAUAUCACCAAUAAAAAUAUUCAACAGGACUGGCCCCAGCACAGACCCCUGAGGGACACCACUGGUGACUGGCCACCAGCUGGAUGCAGCACCAUUCACCAGCACUUUGUGGGCUUGGCCUCCAGCCAGUUCUUAACCCAGCAAAGAGUGUUCCUGUCCAAACCAUGAGCUGCCAGCUUUUCCAGGAGCGUGCUGUGGGAGACAGUGUCAAAGGCCUUGCUGAAGUCCAGGUACACAACAUCCACAGCCUUUCCUGCAUCCACCAGGUGGGUCACUUGGUCAUGAAAGGAGAUCAGGUUGGUCAAACACAAC